AUAAAAUUUAAUUUUUGUUUGAAAAUUAAUGAUAUUUUGUUAAUACUAUAUAAUAUUAAAUUAAAUAAUAUAGAAAUAAAAAUAAUAUUUAAAUUUUAUAAAUUUAAUGAAAGUUAGAAUAAGAUUAAAAUUUUAAAAAUGGGAUAAUUUAGUGCCAGCAUCAGCGGUUAUACUAAACAUUUAAAUUAAUUAUUAAUUUAUAUAGAUAUAUAAAAUUGAAAUAAUUUUAAGUUGCGAUAAUAAUAUAAUAAAUGGUGAAAUAUUAUUAUUUAUUAUUAAUAUAAUUUAAAUUUUUGAUUUUAAAAAAUUUAUAAUAUAAACUAGGAUUAGAUACCCUAUUAUAAUAAAUGUAAUUAGGAUAAAAAGAGAUUAAAUGAUAGAUCAUUAAAUUUAAAAAAUUUGGCGGUACUUAUAAUUUAGAGGAAUCUGUAUAGUAAUCGAUAAUCCACGAUAAGAAAUACUUAUUAAAAGUUUAUGUAUUGCUGUUUUAAAUAUUUAAUUGAGUUAAAUAUAAUAAAAUUUAUUAAGUUUAAUAAAAUAAUUCAAGUCAAAAUAUAGCUUUUUUAAGAUUUAAUAUGGAUUACAAUUAAUUUAAUUAUUAUUUGGAUUAUAAAAUUUAAUUUUUAUAUGAAAGUGGAUUUAAAAGUAAAUUUAAUUAAUUUAUUAAAUUGAAUUAUUAAUAUAAGUAUGUACAAAUUGCCCGUCGCUUUCAAUAAAAUGGAAUAAGUCGUAACAAAGUUUAGGUACUGGAAAGUGUCUAUUGAUAAAA
rnacentral:ncRNA from 1 species